GAUGAACGCUGGCGGCGUGCCUAAUACGUGCAAGUCGAGCGAACGGACGAGAAGCUUGCUUCUCUGAUGUUAGCGGCGGACGGGUGAGUAACAAGUGGAUAACCUACCUAUAAGACUGGGAUAACUUCGGGAAACCGUAGCUAAUACCGGAUAAUAUUUUGAACCGCAUGGUUCAAAAGUGAAAGACGGUCUUGCUGUCACUUAUAGAUGGAUCCGCGCUGCAUUAGCUAGUUGGUAAGGUAACGGCUUACCAAGGCAACGAUGCAUAGCCGACCUGAGAGGGUGAUCGGCCACACUGGAGCUGAGACACGGUCCAGACUCCUACGGGAGGCAGCAGUAGGGAAUCUUCCGCAAUGGGCGAAAGCCUGACGGAGCAACGCCGCGUGAGUGAUGAAGGUCUUCGGAUCGUAAAACUCUGUUAUUAGGGAAGAACAUAUGUGUAAGUAACUGUGCACAGCUUGACGGUACCUAGUCAGAAAGCCACGGCUAACUACGUG
rnacentral:rRNA from 1 species